rnacentral:rRNA from 1 species
CAUGUAGGCGGCGUGCCAAGUGCAUGGUGAAAUCCCACGGCUCACCCGUGGAACUGCUGUGCAUACUGGUGUGCUAGAGGACGGUAGGGGAGAGCGGAACUCUUGGUGGAGCGGUGAAAUGCGUAGAUAUCAAGAGGAACACCGAAGGCGAAGGCAGCUCUCUGGUCCGUUUCUGACGCUGAGGUGCGAAAGCCAGGGUAGCGAACG